UACCCGCUGAACUUAAGCAUAUCAAUAAGCGGAGGAAAAGAAACUAACAAGGAUUCCCUUAGUAACGGCGAGUGAACCGGGAAGAGCUCAAAUUUGUAAUCUGGCUGUCUUCGAUAGUCCGAGUUGUAAUCUAUAGAAGCGUUUUCCGUGCUGAACUGUGUAUAAGUCCCUUGGAACAGGGUAUCAAAGAGGGUGACAAUCCCGUACUUUACACAAUCAUCAGUGCUCUGUGAUACGUUCUCUACGAGUCGAGUUGUUUGGGAAUGCAGCUCAAAAUGGGUGGUAAAUUCCAUCUAAAGCUAAAUAUUGGCGAGAGACCGAUAGCGAACAAGUACCGUGAGGGAAAGAUGAAAAGCACUUUGGAAAGAGAGUUAAACAGUACGUGAAAUUGUUAAAAGGGAAACGAUUGAAGUCAGUCGUGUUUAUUGGAUUCAGCCGGUCUUCGGUGUACUUCCUUUAAACGGGUCAACAUCAGUUUUGUUCGGUGGAUAAAGGUAUUAGGAAUGUGGCUUCUUCGGAAGUGUUAUAGCCUAGUAUUGCAUACACUGGAGGAGACUGAGGACUGCAGCUCGCCUUUAUGGCCGGGGUUCGCCCACGUUCGAGCUUAGGAUGUUGACAUAAUGGCUUUAAACGACCCGUCUUGAAACACGG
rnacentral:rRNA from 1 species